GUAGAGUAGACGUCGCGCGUUAAGUGGUACGGGAUGGGAAGUUGCCCGUACACGAAAAGCUUGGCUUGCGGUGCGGCGUCGCGUCCGCUA
rnacentral:ncRNA from 1 species